AGUGAACGCUGGCGGUAGGCCUAACACAUGCAAGUCGAACGGCAGCACAGUAAGAGCUUGCUCUUACGGGUGGCGAGUGGCGGACGGGUGAGGAAUACAUCGGCAUCUACUUUUUCGUGGGGGAUAACGUAGGGAAACUUACGCUAAUACCGCAUACGACCUACGGGUGAAAGCAGGGGAUCUUCGGACCUUUCGCGAUUGUAUGAGCCGAUGUCGCAUUAGCUAGUUGGCGGGGUAAAGGCCCACCAAGGCGACGAUCCGUAGCUGGCCUGAGAGGAUGAUCAGCCACACUGGAACUGAGACACGGUCCAGACUCCUACGGGAGGCAGCAGUAGGGAAUCUUGCGCAAUGGGCGAAAGCCUGACCGAGCAAUGCCGCGUGAGUGAAGAAGGUCUUCGGGUUGUAAAGCUCUGUUGUUGGGAAAGAAAAGCUGCAGAUGAAACUCUCGACGUCCUGACGGUACCCAAAGAGAAAGCACCGGCUAACUACGUG
rnacentral:rRNA from 1 species